AACGAACGCUGGCGGCAGGCCUAACACAUGCAAGUCGAACGGGAUCUUCGGGUCUAGUGGCGGACGGGUGAGUAACGCGUGGGAACGUGCCCUUUGGUUCGGAAUAGCCCCGGGAAACUGGGAGUAAUACCGGAUAAGCCCUACGGGGGAAAGAUUUAUCGCCAAAGGAUCGGCCCGCGUUGGAUUAGGUAGUUGGUGAGGUAAUGGCUCACCAAGCCGACGAUCCAUAGCUGGUUUGAGAGGAUGAUCAGCCACACUGGGACUGAGACCCGGCCCAGAUUCCUACGGGAGGCAGCAGUGGGGAAUCUUAGACAAUGGGGGAAACCCUGAGCUAGCCAUGCCGCGUGAUCGAUGAAGGCCUUAGGGUUGUAAAGAUCUUUCAGUGGGGAAGGUAAUGACUGUACCCACAGAAGAAGCCCCGGCUAACUCCGUGCCAGCCGCCGCCGUAACAC
rnacentral:rRNA from 1 species